rnacentral:rRNA from 1 species
UUGAACGCUGGCGGCAUGCUUUACACAUGCAAGUCGAACGGUAACAGGUCUUCGGAUGCUGACGAGUGGCGAACGGGUGAGUAACACAUCGGAACGUGCCUAGUAGUGGGGGAUAACUACUCGAAAGAGUAGCUAAUACCGCAUGAGAUCUAAGGAUGAAAGCAGGGGACCUUCGGGCCUUGCGCUACUAGAGCGGCUGAUGGCAGAUUAGGUAGUUGGUGGGAUAAAAGCUUACCAAGCCGACGAUCUGUAGCUGGUCUGAGAGGACGACCAGCCACACUGGAACUGAGACACGGUCCAGACUCCUACGGGAGGCAGCAGUGGGGAAUUUUGGACAAUGGGCGAAAGCCUGAUCCAGCAAUGCCGCGUGUAGGAUGAAGGCCCUCGGGUUGUAAACUACUUUUGUACGGAACGAAAAGACUCUUUCUAAUAAAGAGGGUCCAUGACGGUACCGUAAGAAUAAGCACCGGCUAACUACGU